CAAGUCGAGCGGAACGAGUUAUCUGAACCUUCGGGGGACGAUAACGGCGUCGAGCGGCGGACGGGUGAGUAAUGCCUAGGAAAUUGCCCUGAUGUGGGGGAUAACCAUUGGAAACGAUGGCUAAUACCGCAUGAUGCCUACGGGCCAAAGAGGGGGACCUUCGGGCCUCUCGCGUCAGGAUAUGCCUAGGUGGGAUUAGCUAGUUGGUGAGGUAAGGGCUCACCAAGGCGACGAUCCCUAGCUGGUCUGAGAGGAUGAUCAGCCACACUGGAACUGAGACACGGUCCAGACUCCUACGGGAGGCAGCAGUGGGGAAUAUUGCACAAUGGGCGCAAGCCUGAUGCAGCCAUGCCGCGUGUGUGAAGAAGGCCUUCGGGUUGUAAAGCACUUUCAGUCGUGAGGAAGGUGGUGUAGUUAAUAGCUGUAUCAUUUGACGUUAGCGACAGAAGAAGCACCGGCUAACUCCGUGCCAGC
rnacentral:rRNA from 1 species